GUUGAAAGAGUUGUUUCUGCUGUGAGGGGCUCUGUUGUUGAAGAAACACCCUCAGUGCUAAUCUCAGGUACAGUGGAUGACUCAGCUGGAGUUGUUGUAGAUACAACUGUUGUAAUUGGCACCGUAGUUGUGGUUGUUAGCGUUGUUGGUUGUGUUGAAGUAACGACUGGUAUUGAGGUUUGUUUCAUUGGCACAGAUGAGCUGACAGAUGUUGACGUUUCAGAAGGUGUAGAUGUAUUUUCUUCAAAAGUUGUUGUGGCAAUAGUUGUUGUUUGGCUUGU